AAUUUUGGACAAUGGGGGCAACCCUGAUCCAGCCAUCCCGCGGGUGCGAUGAAGGCCUUCGGGUUGUAAAGCACUUUUGGCAGGUAAGAAAAGGCUCUGGCUAAUACAUGGCGCUGCUGACGGUACCGGCAGAAUAAGCACCGGCUAACUCAGUUCCAGCAGCCGCGGUAAUACGUAGGGUGCAAGCGUUAAUCGGAAUUACUGGGCGUAAAGCGUGCGCAGUCGGUUCGGAAAGCAGGAUGUGAAAUCCCAGGGCUUAACCUUGGAACUGCAUUCUUAACUGCCGGGCUAGAGUAUGUCAGAGGGGGGUAGAAUCCCGCGUGUAGCAGUGAAAUGCGUAGAGAUGCGGAGGCAUACCGAUGGCGAAGGCAGCCCCCUGGGAUAAUACUGACGCUCAUGCACGAAAGCGUGGGGAGCAAAC
rnacentral:rRNA from 1 species